AUGCCCUGCCAUGGGAAGAAGCACGUCCCUUCAAAUCUUGAUGAUAAUAUGGAGUUGUGGAAGAAACUGAAAGACCGUAAUGACACCAAAAUAACUUUCAAUGGAUUGCUAGCCAAGAUGAAAGUCGACAGCACACAAAAUUUUGUCAGGCCAUUUGUGUUGUACACCAUAGGCAAAUAUGUAUGCCGAACAAAAGAGGAGUAUGUUGAUAACAAAUACAUUGGGAUUGUUAGAAAUGUUGAGACAAUAAAGGGCACAAAUCUUGGACAGCUAACGCUCGACUAUCUUAUGGAUAGCGUGAAGAAUUUUGUAAAUGGUGAGGCAAUUCUGGAGGGGAAUCUACUACUGCUGCAGACAUGGUACUACGAGAAGUUCAGAGUGCACCAAUUGGACUCUAGCAUCUCGUAUGAAUCAAGGUUAAGGCCGCUGAUCCAGAAUUGGAGCAAGGAGAAGGAAAAAAAGGUUGACAAUAUAAUCCAAAAUAAUUAUCUGGGAGUUGGAGAGUAUGUUGAGGACCUGAUGAGGCCUUUCUUCCAGCACGAGAUGAUUACGGUACUCGUCGGACGUGUAUUGACUGAUUUGCAAGAAGUUGCCUCCCUCGUGCGGGAGUCCGGUGCAGAACAAGUCGAUAGGAUGUGCACCCUUGAAAAGAAAAUGGAUGAGUGCCUUAGGCGUACCCGUACAAAUGGCAAGCUCACGGAGGACCUCAUCAAAGAAUUGAAUGUAAGCCUAGAAUUAUGA
rnacentral:rRNA from 1 species